rnacentral:rRNA from 1 species
UACAGAGGGGGCGAGCGUUGUUCGGAAUUACUGGGCGUAAAGGGCGCGUAGGCGGCCCGCUAAGUCGAACGUGAAAUCCCCAGGCUCAACCUGGGAACUGCGUCCGAUACUGGCAGGCUUGAAUCCGGGAGAGGGAUGCAGAAUUCCAGGUGUAGCGGUGAAAUGCGUAGAUAUCUGGAGGAACACCGAUGGCGAAGGCAGGUCUCUGGGCCACUACUGACGCUGAGAAGCGAAAGCAUGGGGAGCGAACAGG